UUGCUUUGGCAGCACAUACAAUGGACUUUGAGCCAUACAGAGAAGAUAAGCAGGGACCCUGUGCAAGGACGACCUGCAAAUUUGUGAAGCAUUCUGUAUUUUU